ensembl:lncRNA
UGCAGUAAGUGCCUUCCGUGGACAUAUUCUUCUUUUCCUAGGACAGUGCCUAUGCUUUGAUUUACAGAAUAAAUGUCUUAGUGAGUGAAUGGGUGGUGGGACAACUGAGUGAACAUGCUUGCUGAGGUUGUGUUUUUUUUUCCUAUAGAAAGACUUAAUAAUUCCAGGACAUACAACUGCCAUCAUUCACAGUGCACCAGAAGAGCAACCCAAUAACGACAGAAUAACUCGUGUUCAUGGAGUCCAUGAAGAUAACAAAUGUGGCAGGAACGUCAGCUGUAGCGGGCAAGAAGAGUAAAAAAUGUUUUUUCAUCACUCAAGUUGCUCCACAACAGCCAAUUAAUAAACAUGGGAUGGACUCUGAUCACACAUUGGACAAAGAUAACAAACGUAGUAAGGAGUCUACCUCCCAAAGAGAUCCUGAAGACAACAACUCACCAAGGAAUUCGAAGGCAGGAACGUCAGCUGUAGCGGGUAAGAAGAGUAAAAAAUGUUUUUUCAUCACUCAAGUUGAUCCACACCAGCUAAUUAUGAACUCUGAUCACGGAUUGGACAGAGAUAACAAACGUAGUAAGGAGUCUACCUCCCAAAGUGAUCCUGAAGACAACAACUCACCAAGGAAUUCGAAGGCAGGAACGUCAGCUGUAGUGGGUAAGAAGAGUAAAAAACGUUUUUUCAUCGCUCAAGUUGCUCCACAACAGCCAAUUAUGAACUCUGAUCACGGAUUGGACAAAGAUAACAAACGUAGUAAGGAGUCUACCUCCCAAAGAGAUCCUGAAGACAACAACUCACCAAGGAAUUCGAAGGCAGGAACGUCAGCUGUAGCGGGUAAGAAGAGUAAAAAACGUUUUUUCAUCGCUCAAGUUGCUCCACAACAGCCAAUUAUGAACUCUGAUCACGGAUUGGACAAAGAUAACAAGCGUAGUAAGGAGUCUACCUCCCAAAGAGAUCCUGAAGACAGCAACUCACCAAGGAAUUCGAAGACUAUUUCUACAAAUUCUUGGAAGAAAUCCAUUAAUCAAUCAAUGGCAGCCGAUGCAAAAAGAAAAGAUAUGAAUGAACCACUGGAAGAGUUUGCUAAGGGAUCCACUGAGUUGACGCCUCGUCUGGAAGCAAUACAUCCUUUUUGGACAACAUCAGUGGGAAUGAAUGAAGUACAAACAUGCAGACAAGAUAAUGACAUUAAAACAACAAACAAGGAAGAACAAGAAUGGCUUGAUGGAAGUAAAAAUAAGCAAUUUGAAGAAAAAGGGCAGCGUUGCCAAAGUAAGGAAAUGGAAGUGUUAAGAAACUUGCAUGAAAGUGCUGCUCCUCCUGAUGACAGUGAUGGUUGUGGACUGAAUCAGCAGAGACAGAGUGGGGACCUUGAUAACCAGCAAUCUGCCACUAAGAAGAAUGAAGAAUAUUAUUUCUGCCCUGCCUUGCAUAUAAAGGAAACAAAAAAUGAAAAUGAAAAAGUGACUUCCAUGGAGUAUGGGAUUAGACCAGUGAUAGAGAAUGGCUUUUCACUCACUAGAAGUCUACUGCAAGUGAUUUAUGACAACAAUCUGAGUGAGCUCGAUCGUCUUAAAAGGGAACAGUUAAGAAGAAAAGAAAAGCAAUAUCAUAAAGAAGUAGAAGUGAAACAACUUGAAGUGACACAUAGAACACUAGAAUUGGAUGCGAGGACUUCAAAAAACAAUUUGACCCAGGUAAGUUAAUCUUUGAUAAAAUUUUUAUGUUUCUGACUUGAAUCACUGUUACAUAUAAUGUCCUCCUCAUUCAAGAUAUAUACAUAAAUAUAUAUAUACACACACACGCAUAUACUAAACAGGUGUGUAUGCACACAGACACACACACAGAUGUGUAAUCUUUAUUUAAAGUAACCCAAAAAUUAUUCUGAAGAUGAAUUAUGACAUAUACUGCUGGAGUUAUUGCUUGUGAGUCUUGGUACAUGAUGGUGCUUAGUACAUAUUUUCUAAAUAAAGCAGUGCAUAUUGAGUUGAAUUUAAUAACU